AGCUUGACACUGAACAUUGAGCCUUGAUGUGUAGGAUAGGUGGGAGGCUUUGAAGCGUGGACGCCAGUCUGCGUGGAGCCGACCUUGAAAUACCACCCUUUAAUGUUUGAUGUUCUAACGUGGACCCGUGAUCCGGGUUGCGGACAGUGUCUGGUGGGUAGUUUGACUGGGGCGGUCUCCUCCUAAAGAGUAACGGAGGAGCACGAAGGUUGGCUAAUCCUGGUCGGACAUCAGGAGGUUAGUGCAAUGGCAUAAGCCAGCUUGACUGCGAGCGUGACGGCGCGAGCAGGUGCGAAAGCAGGUCAUAGUGAUCCGGUGGUUCUGAAUGGAAGGGCCAUCGCUCAACGGAUAAAAGGUACUCCGGGGAUAACAGGCUGAUACCGCCCAAGAGUUCAUAUCGACGGCGGUGUUUGGCACCUCGAUGUCGGCUCAUCACAUCCUGGGGCUGAAGUAGGUCCCAAGGGUAUGGCUGUUCGCCAUUUAAAGUGGUACGCGAGCUGGGUUUAGAACGUCGUG
rnacentral:rRNA from 1 species